CAAGGAGAGGAGUCUCCUCUGAAAUCAAAACUCACCUAACAAAAAAGAAACUUGACAUUUUACUUCAUGGAACAAAUAUCAUGUAGAAAGCAUUAGCUAUUAGCCUUUCUCAAGUUGCACUCAAGACUUAAAGACCAUCUGAGCUCUUGUCAAGAACAUAAAAAUUUAAGAGAUGCAGCAGAGCUCAUGUACCUUCUCAGAUUGCCUUGCAGGUGGAGCUGGCCCCCAAGUCUCUGUUCUGGCAAAUGAAA